ACUACUACUUCUGGUUACCUGUUUCCAUGGCUACAUUACGUCAGCUCGCCUAAGAAAUGUACAACUUUCAAGUUCCACAUCAGAUGUAUGCGGUUGGUCUUUCAUCCUUGAAAGAAGCUUUUCAUUAAGCCAUGGAUAUUUCUUCGCUUGAUAAGGAGGCGCGAGGAUUCGUUUGACCAGGAAAAGAAAGUGCAUAUCCAUUAUCUUCUCAACGAGCGACCAAGAUAGAUUUUACAAAUCUUUACAGACCAAAUAACGACAUGUUAGCAAAUGUAUUAAAUAGACAAAAGCGAUGUGUAAUUUGAAAAAUAUAGAAUUAUGUCAAUAAAAUUAAGGUGUAAUUUGCAAA